rnacentral:lncRNA from 1 species
AGAAGUGGAUGAUGUUGCAAUAGAGAGUUCUUUCUAGACCUUUGAGGUGGUGACUGCAUCUUAUGUGGCAGAGGGAAUGCAAGCCCCUAAGCCUAAUGUGCCACGAACAACAAACAUGUUAUUUUCCUAGACAAUAAGGAAGGGUUAGAAAAUCCACUUAAGUUUGGGAAAAAACCUACAAGGUAUCUCAGAAGCCAUUUUUGUUCCCAC